rnacentral:rRNA from 1 species
UACGGAGGGUGCAAACGUUGCUCGGAAUCAUUGGGCGUAAAGCGCACGUAGGCGGCCACUCAAGUCGGGUGUGAAAGCCCUGGGCUCAACCCAGGAAGUGCAUUCGAAACUGUGUGGCUUGAAUCCCGGAGGGGCCCAGAGAAUUCCCGGUGUAGAGGUGAAAUUCGUAGAUAUCGGGAGGAAUACCAGUGGCGAAGGUGCUGGGCUGGACGGGCAUUGACGCUGAGGUGCGAAAGCGUGGGGAGCAAACAGG